ensembl:lncRNA TMC3-AS1 TMC3 antisense RNA 1
AUCGUGGGGAGAAGCAACGCAAGACCCCGGAAGCAUGCCAACGUGUAAAACCCCAAGUCAAAGGUCAAACAGUGCACUGGAUCUCUCAAGUCGCCUGCUUGGCCCUCUACUAAAAAGGGAGAUGCCAUGUGCUGGCCCAGCACUCCAACAGGGGCCUGACCUCUAGGAACGGGACACUGGAGGAAGCCUAGACAUCUGAACAAAUCAAGUCAUCCAGAUCCACGGUCAGCUCCUGCCCCGACUUGGCCUUCCUCCUGCUGGGCUGGCCCACGGACCUCGGGAACCUGCCCUGGCUGUGGGUGACCUGCAGCCUAUCUCCCAGGACUAUGGAAGCCCCAUGCAGGAACAUGGUUCUGACACUUUGGGGAUUAUACCCUAAGCUUAAAGGACUGGAAAAGCCCCUGAAGUCCCGAGACCACAACCCUCCACCUUCUAAAGAUAAGACAAGUCACUGAAGGUCUCAGAACUGUGGCCCAUUCACCCCUUCCCUCAAGACAAGAGUGUGGCCAAGCAUCAAUCUCACCCCCAGAGACCAGACGGUGUCCAGGUCUUGGGCAGACGAAACCUGCUCCUUGGGGAUGGUCUUCCUGGCUGUGCUUCCAAAGGGCUGGCCUGCAAUCAGCUGGUUUUCACUUGAUCCUUUCGGGGUUUGCAUUAUAUCUGACUGAAGGAAUGAACUGGGAGAGAACAGCAGAGCCGCAGCGGAAUGUGGAAAGGCCCACGUCCAGACUGUUCCCAUUCUGAUUUAAAAGCCUGAUGAAGGAACAGCUGAACUCAGAGAAACAGCAGGUGAAAAGUCCAAGUCAAGGAAUAGAAGUAGUCAGUUCGUGGUGGAGUUGCAUUGAUGAUUCCAGAGCGGUUCCUGCUCCUCCUCUUUAAGCCAGUGUGUUUUACCAAAGAUUUUCGGGACAAAGAAAAAGCCAGGCAGUAGGUGCCAAAUACAGUGACUCAUCAGAUGACCCUGCUGUUUAUCUCCAACAUUUUCAUGAACAGCUUUCAAGGAAUGAAGGAAGGAAAUGUUCUGUGUCCAUAAAGUAGGAUUGGAAACAGUUGACUUGUAUGAACAUGGCCAACACAAAAUAGUCCAGGGGGAUGUGGAAUAUUUGAGGAGAACAACAUUAGACUGAGAAAUUAUGACAGUCAGGAAAAGAAAAAUUGUACCAAAUAUCAAAGAACGUGAGUUUUUUUCAACAGAAAACUAAAGCGAUAGAUGGAACCUGUGAGUUCACUUCUAAAGGAGCAUUAAAAAAAAAAUGAAACCUAGGAAAA